CUACGGGGCGCAGCAGUGAGGAAUAUUGCACAAUGGGGGGAACCCUGAUGCAGCAACGCCGCGUGGAGGAUGACGCAUUUCGGUGUGUAAACUCCUUUUAUAUGUCAAGAAAAUGACGGUAGCAUAUGAAUAAGCACCGGCUAACUCCGUGCCAGCAGCCGCGGUAAUACGGAGGGUGCAAGCGUUACUCGGAAUCUCUGGGCGUAAAGGACGCGUAGGCGGGUUGGUAAGUCAGGUGUGAAAUCCUACAGCUUAACUGUAGAGCUGCACUUGAAACUACCGACCUAGAGUAUGGGAGGGGAAGAUGGAAUUAGUGGUGUAGGGGUAACAUCCGUAGAUAUCACUAGGAAUACCUAAAGCGAAGGCGAUCUUCUGGAACAUUACUGACGCUAAGGCGUGAAAGCGUGGGGAGCAAACAGGAUUAGAUACCCUUGUAGUC
rnacentral:rRNA from 1 species